UACAGAGGUCUCGAGCGUUAGGCGGAAUCACUGGGCUUAAAGCGUGUGUAGGCGGAUCGUUAAGUGCCUUGUGAAAUCCCACGGCUCAACCGUGGAACUGCUUGGCAUACUGGCGGUCCUGAGCAACCUAGGGGCGAGCGGAACAAAUGGUGGAGCGGUGAAAUGCGUAGAUAUCAUUUGGAACGCCAAUGGUGAAAACAGCUCGCUGGGGGUUUGCUGACGCUGAGACACGAAAGCCAGGGGAGCAAACGGG
rnacentral:rRNA from 1 species